UACGUAGGGAGCGAGCGUUGUCCGGAAUUACUGGGUGUAAAGGGAGCGUAGGCGGGCGAGAAAGUUGAAUAUUAAAUCUACCGGCUUAACUGGUAGCUGCGUUCAAAACUUCUUGUCUUGAGUGAAGUAGAGGCAGGCGGAAUUCCUAGUGUAGCGGUGAAAUGCGUAGAUAUUAGGAGGAACACCAGUGGCGAAGGCGGCCUGCUGGGCUUUAACUGACGCUGAGGCUCGAAAGCGUGGGGAGCAAACAGG
rnacentral:rRNA from 1 species